rnacentral:rRNA from 1 species
GUGGGGAAUAUUGGGCAAUGGGCGCAAGCCUGACCCAGCAACGCCGCGUGAGGGAAGAAGGUCUUCGGAUUGUAAACCUCUGUCCUUGGGGACGAAAAAAAUGACGGUACCCAAGGAGGAAGCUCCGGCUAACUACGUGCCAGCAGCCGCGGUAAUACGUAGGGAGCGAGCGUUGUCCGGAAUUACUGGGCGUAAAGGGUGCGUAGGCGGCGUGGCAAGUCAGAUGUGAAAUCCCCGGGCUUAACUCGGGAGUUGCAUUUGAAACUGCUAGGCUUGAGUGCCGGAGAGGAAAGCGGAAUUCCUAGUGUAGCGGUGAAAUGCGUAGAUAUUAGGAGGAACACCAGUGGCGAAGGCGGCUUUCUGGACUGUAACUGACGCUGAGGCAAGAAAGCGUGGGGAGCAAACAGGAUUAGAAACCCCUGUAGUCC